rnacentral:rRNA from 1 species
UACGUAGGGGGCAAGCGUUGUCCGGAUUUAUUGGGCGUAAAGAGCGUGUAGGCGGCUUUGCAGGUCCGCUGUGAAAACUCGAGGCUCAACCUCGAGACGCCGGUGGAAACCGUAAAGCUAGAGUCCGGAAGAGGAGAGUGGAAUUCCUGGUGUAGCGGUGAAAUGCGCAGAUAUCAGGAGGAACACCGGUGGCGAAGGCGGGUCUCUGGGCAACAACUGACGCUGAGGAGCGAAAGCGUGGGGAGCGAACAGG